UACGGGGGGAGCAAGCGUUGUUCGGAUUUACUGGGCGUAAAGGGCGGGUAGGCGGCCACCGCAAGUCAGUUGUGAAAUCUCUGGGCUUAACCCAGAAAGGUCACUGAUACUGCGGGCGUAGAGUGCAGAAGGGGCAACUGGAAUUCUCGGUGUAGCGGUGAAAUGCGUAGAUAUCGAGAGGAACACCUGCGGCGAAGGCGGGUUGCUGGGCUGACACUGACGCUGAGGAGCGAAAGCUAGGGGAGCAAACGGG
rnacentral:rRNA from 1 species